CGACGAUAAACACGUGGCCCGCGGGACAGGGCUCACGCACUCGAGAUUUUUCGAUUAUAUUUAUUUUUCUGCCGCUGUCCUAUAUUAUGACACAAUAUUAUUAAUAUACAAUAUAAAAAUCGUGUCAGUCACUACUCCGUUUUUGUUCGGCUCUUGUUAUGGUUUUUUUUUUUUUUUUUUCACUUGGCAUAUAGUCGUAUAUUAUUAUACGCGUGUGAUAUUAAUAUGGUCGCCAUCAUGAUA